GAGAACUGAGAAAGGAUAAAACUUAAUACAUUGCAUAUACAUGUAGCUAGCUUAUUUGUAUUUAUACAUGCAUAAAUAUGCUGUAUUUUACAGAUUCCAUUGAAGUAUCAAGCUGGUCUUUCUACAGCAAUGUCGCAAGCAAAAUCUGCUUUGAGUCUACCACUAAAUGAGAGAUUGUCUCAGUGGGGUUUCAUGUCCCGAUAUAAUAAAGGUCGUAAGAGAAAAGGCAGCUCAAAUCAAGGCAAGAGGAAAGCCUUCAAAAAGACCAACUGAUAAACUGUCUAAGAAAAAUGAUGAACUAGCUCCAUGAAGAACGCAUCUUGUAUACAUUAUUCACCCAGCAUUAAUCACUUAUAACUAUAUCAGAAUUAACCACUUCAUAUUAGAUCUAUUAUAGCUGGUCUAUUAUUGCUAUUGUAUUUAUUCAGCAUGAUCACUAUUGUAGUCAGUACUACAUUUCAGUACUAGACUACUCACCACAA